rnacentral:rRNA from 1 species
GUAAGGAAUAUUGGUCAAUGGAGGCAACUCUGAACCAGCCAUGCCGCGUGCAGGAAGACUGCCCUAUGGGUUGUAAACUGCUUUUAUCCGGGAAUAAACCUAUCUACGUGUAGAUAGCUGAAUGUACCGGAAGAAUAAGGAUCGGCUAACUCCGUGCCAGCAGCCGCGGUAAUACGGAGGAUCCAAGCGUUAUCCGGAUUUAUUGGGUUUAAAGGGUGCGUAGGCGGCCUGUUAAGUCAGGGGUGAAAGACGGUAGCUCAACUAUCGCAGUGCCCUUGAUACUGAUGGGCUUGAAUGGACUAGAGGUAGGCGGAAUGAGACAAGUAGCGGUGAAAUGCAUAGAUAUGUCUCAGAACACCGAUUGCGAAGGCAGCUUACUAUGGUCCUAUUGACGCUGAGGCACGAAAGCGUGGGGAUCAAACAGGAUUAGAUACCCCAGUAGUCC